UACGGAGGGUGCAAACGUUGCUCGGAAUCAUUGGGCGUAAAGCGCACGUAGGCGGUCCAGCAAGUCGGGUGUGAAAGCCCGAGGCUCAACCUCGGAACUGCCUUCGAUACUGCGGGUCUCGAGUCCGGGAGAGGUGAGUGGAAUUCCUAGUGUAGAGGUGAAAUUCGUAGAUAUUAGGAAGAACACCAGUGGCGAAGGCGGCUCACUGGCCCGGUACUGACGCUGAGGCGCGAAAGCGUGGGGAGCAAACAGG
rnacentral:rRNA from 1 species